rnacentral:rRNA from 1 species
UACGGAGGAUCCAAGCGUUAUCCGGAAUCAUUGGGUCUAAAGGGUCCGUAGGCGGUUUAGUAAGUCAGUGGUGAAAGCCCAUCGCUCAACGGUGGAACGGCCAUUGAUACUGCUAGACUUGAAUUAUUAGGAAGUAACUAGAAUAUGUAGUGUAGCGGUGAAAUGCUUAGAGAUUACAUGGAAUACCAAUUGCGAAGGCAGGUUACUACUAAUGGAUUGACGCUGAUGGACGAAAGCGUGGGUAGCGAACAGG